AUCAGGAUGAAUUUAAUUUUGGUUCUGAUUGAACGUUUUUCAGUAGUUUUGAGACAUGCUAAUCAUUAUUCUACAAAGUUUAUAUUAAAAAUAGUAUUAAAAAAUUAAUAUAAUACCAAUUAGAAUAAGGUGUAAAGGUGAGUAUUGUAAAUCAGAUACCUUAUAGUCUCCAUAAAUCGGAGAUAUUUUUACUAAUUUCAUUUAAAAUAAUGAAUCUAUUUACUAUUUAUGGUUUCAUAUUUAGCUAGUAAAAAGGUAAUUUAGCUAAUUAUCAAUAAAGGAAAGUUUCUGCUAUAAGAUUCGAUUUAUUUUGUUUAAUGGUAGUUGGUAGGGUAACGGCCUACCAAGCCUACGAUCAAAAGCCACGUUUGAUAGAACAAAUGGCCACAUUGGGAGUGAAAUGCCCCAAGUAGUAUACACUACCAGCAGUCAAGAAUAUUAGUCAAUGCUCGAAAGAGUGAACUAGCUAACUGAAAUCACAAACAAGCUUAAAAAGCUAUUUGUGAUAAGGUAAGGGAAAAAACUGAUGUUACCUUACUAAAAGUGUUGUCCAAAACUGGUGCCAGAAGACUCGGUAAGACCAGAAACGCGAACGUUAAUCGUCCUAAUCAGGCGUAAAGGGUUCGUAGGCUGCUUUUAACAUUUUUAUUUAAAAAAGCUCUUAUUAAAUUAAAUAUUUAUAACAACAAAAAAAUAAAUACAAAAAUAAGUUAAAUAAAAUAAUAAUAAAAGCUAGAAUCAAAUUUAGGAUAUGAAAAAUGCUUAGUGUAGGGAUGGUAUCCGUAGAUACUAAGUGGAAUACUAAAGGCGAAAGCUUCUAUCUAUUAAUGAUUGACGCUGAGGAACGAAGGUGAGAAUAGGAAAUAGGAUUAGGUACCCAGAUACCUCUCACUGUCAACGAUGAAUGGUAGUUAGUCAGUUUUAAAACAAAUUGGUAGCGAUGUUAACGCGAUAACCAUUCCGCCUUGCGAGUACGGUUGCAAAACUGAAACCAAAAAAAUUAGUCGGUCUCGGAGCAAACGAAGUGGAGCAUGUUAUUUAAUACGAUAAUACGCGUAAAAUCUUACCAGUUCUUGCAUAUCCAUUCUGAUCUCAGAAUGUGUAGUAAUUUAGUCUUUAUAGAUUAUCUUAUUCGUUUACAGGUGUUGCAUGGCUGUCGUCAGUCCGUGUUUUGAAAAGUUAGGUUAACUCCGCUAACGGACGCAAUCCCUGUUGUUAAUUUAUACUUAACAAUUAAUGAAUUUUAUAUAUUUUCAUUUGGGGCUAAGACAAGUCGUUAUGAUCCUCAUGAACUGGGCUAUAGACGUGCUACAAAAACUUUUACAAAGUGAAGCAAAAUCUGACCUUGAUUAUAAAUAAAAUAUUUAAUAUUGAUAUAUUGAAACUAUUAUUUCUCUUACUCUUUAUUUUAUUAAGAAAAAAUUAAAGUUUAAUCAGGUGAAAUUUAGUUUACUGUAUAUUAUAUUAAUAUAAAUUAAUAUUUUAAUAUAAAGUAUUAUAUAUAUUAUUGUAAUAACUGAUAUCUGUUGAUUUUUUAUUUUAGAGGUUUAGUUGAAUUAGCUAAUCAUUAAAGAAAGUUAAAUUAUUAAAUGAUAAACGGAUUGUCACCUGUAAUUCGGUGGCAUGAAGAAGGAAUUUCGAGUAAUCGUUGAUCACUACGCAACGGUGAAGAUGGAAUUCGGGAUGAACUAACUGUCUGUCGCUGGGAAGGAGCUUAAAUUAGGGGAAACUGCGGCGAGGUUAAAACUUCAACAAAGGCACACACAUAUUAUAAAAUAGCUUAGCAAGCUAAUAUUUAUAAUAUUUAAUCUGUAAUAGGAUUAAAAUUUGUGUAGUUUAUUUGCUAUUUAUGAUAUUUUUAUUGUAAAUUUGUCUUUUAUUUUUUUAACACCUUUGUUAAGCUAAUUAGUUUCAGUUAACCUGAUUAAGUAACAUUUCAAAAGUCAUAGCAGGGUAGUGGUACUGGAAAGUGCUGCUGGAAAAUUUUGGUU
rnacentral:rRNA from 1 species